UGGGGAAUUUUGGGCAAUGGGCGAAAGCCUGAUCCAGCAAUGCCGCGUGUGUGAAGAAGGCCUUCGGGUUGUAAAGCACUUUUGUCCGGAAAGAAAUCCUUGGCUCUAAUACAGUCGGGGGAUGACGGUACCGGAAGAAUAAGCACCGGCUAACUACGUGCCAGCAGCCGCGGUAAUACGUAGGGUGCAAGCGUUAAUCGGAAUUACUGGGCGUAAAGCGUGCGCAGGCGGUUUGCUAAGACCGAUGUGAAAUCCCCGGGCUCAACCUGGGAACUGCAUUGGUGACUGGCAGGCUAGAGUAUGGCAGAGGGGGGUAGAAUUCCACGUGUAGCAGUGAAAUGCGUAGAGAUGUGGAGGAAUACCGAUGGCGAAGGCAGCCCCCUGGGCCAAUACUGACGCUCAUGCACGAAAGCGUGGGGAGCAAACAGGAUUAGAUACCCUGGUAGUCCACGCCCUAAACGAUGUCAACUAGUUGUUGGGGAUUCAUUUCCUUAGUAACGUAGCUAACGCGUGAAGUUGACCGCCCGGGGAGUACGGUCGCAAGAUUAAAACUCAAAGGAAUUGACGGGGU
rnacentral:rRNA from 1 species